UCGUAACGAACACGUUAAGCACAAUGAUGGU
rnacentral:piRNA from 1 species